rnacentral:rRNA from 1 species
UGGCAUUGCCUUAGUACGGCGAGUGAAGCGGCAAAAGCUCAAAUUUGAAAUCGGCCCCCAGGUCGAGUUGUAAUUUGUAGAUUGUAUCUUGAGAGCGGAUUAAAGUCUGUUGGAACACAGCGCCUUAGAGGGUGACAGCCCCGUAAAAUCUAUUCUCAUUGUAAGAUACUUUCGAAGAGUCGAGUUGUUUGGGAAUAGUAAACGAGCUC